GGAAGAUAAAGGCAGAGAUUUACAAGCCAAGGAAUGUCAAAGACGGCCAGCACACCACCAGAAGCUAGCAGAGAGGUAUGGAACAGAUUCUUCUUCACAACCUCAGAGGGAAAACCCUGCUGAUACCUGGAUUUCAAACUCCUGGCCUCCAGAACGAAGUCCCUGGAGAGAGGACGUGAUGUCUGAAGCUAUGGCAGCCAUCUUGUAACUAUGAGGCCACAAACAAGAAAAGCAAAAACCAGAGUGAAGCAUGGCAGAGCAGAAAGAUGGAAAGAACCUGGAUACAUAAGAGUGUCACUGUGCAGCUGUACCCACCCUAGACUGCAUAUACCUGGACUUUAAGUAAAUGACAAAUAUCCUUUAUUCUAUCUCAAGCCAUUGCUUCUUCAUCUUUUUUGUGUCAUGACAAUCACAGUGGGCGGUAAUAUUUGUACUGCCCUCUGGGGAACACAGAGGAGACUGCUGGCACCUGAGGUGAACUAUGCUGGGGGCUUCAGCUGCCCCAGGACUCCUCCCUACCUUGAAGCCUGAGGGGAUACAUAUCUCUCUGCACAUCUCUUUGUGGCUCAUCAAUGGGCCUCACCAUACACGUUGAAAAGUUCUAGUUUAAGCCAUACUUACCUGUUACUUGGCUGAAUGCACUUCUAAGUAAAACUUGGACUCAAUGCUGCUUGUCAAUGGAAAGUGAUGAGAUUUAUAAGAUAUCAUACAUUCUCUAGCAACAUAUGAAUAUGCAAAAAAUACUGAUCUUAGCCCAAAUCACAUCAUAUGAUUCUACUGACAGAACUAUUUGCUAUUUAACUCGUGUUCUUUCUUGUCAGUAAUGGGGCCACUUCCUGAUUAACUACAGGCACAUUUCAUGAGAUCCAAACAUAGAAAUUUUUCUUUCUUUUUUUUUCUGAGACAGAGUCUCCUCAGUCGCCCAGGCUGGAGUGCAGUGGCACGAUUUUGGCUGAUGCAACCUCUGCCUCCGGGGUUCAAGUGAUUCUCCUGCCUCAGCUUCCUGAGUAGCUGGGAAUACAGGCACUUGCCAUCAUGCCCAGCCAAUUUUUGUAUUUUUCUAGAGAUGGGGUUUUCCCAUGUUGACUAGACUGGUCUUGAACUCCUGGGCUCAAGUGAUCCUCCUGCCUCAGCCUUCCAAAAUGCUGGGAUUACAGGCAUGAGCCACCUUGCCCGGCCUAUAGGAAUGUUUCAAACGAUGCAUUUGAGAGUACAUUCAUAAUGGUUGAAGAAUUAUAGAUUUUAGGGAAAAAAGUUUCAUUUUAUCUAGAAGUUCAUCUUAUGGGUCAAGUUAUUAUGUUUUUUAUAUGGUCUUAGGUUUGGGUACACAAUGACCUUGGCAAUAAUUGAUUUUUCUAUGAGCCUGACAUUAAUGUUUCUAAGCAAGUCCCUUUUGUCAGCUCCACUGGUGCUUACCGUAGAGGGUUG
rnacentral:lncRNA from 10 species